UACGAAGGGGGCUAGCGUUGCUCGGAAUUACUGGGCGUAAAGGGCGCGUAGGCGGAUAGUUCAGUUGGGGGUGAAAGCCCGGGGCUCAACCUCGGAACUGCCUUCAAUACUGGCUAUCUUGAGUACGGGAGAGGUGUGUGGAACUCCGAGUGUAGAGGUGAAAUUCGUAGAUAUUCGGAAGAACACCAGUGGCGAAGGCGGCUCACUGGACUGGUAUUGACGCUGAUGUGCGAAAGCGUGGGGAGCAAACAGG
rnacentral:rRNA from 1 species